rnacentral:rRNA from 1 species
GAUGAACGCUGGCGGCGUGCCUAAUACAUGCAAGUCGAACGGUAAGGCCUCUUCGGAGGUACACGAGUGGCGGACGGCUGAGUAACGCGUAGGAAUGUACCCCAAAGUGAGGAAUAACCUCGAGAAAUCGAGGCUAAUACCGCAUGUGCUCUAAGGAGUAAAGCUUUAUGCGCUUUGGGAACAGCCUGCGUAAGAUUAGCUUGUUGGUGAGGUAAUGGCUCACCAAGGCGACGAUCUUUAGCUGGUCUGAGAGGAUGAUCAGCCAGACUGGGACUGAGACACGGCCCAGACUCCUACGGGGGGGAGCAGUGGGGAAUAUUGGACAAUGGGCGCAAGCCUGAUCCAGCCAUACCGCGGGAGUGAUGAAGGCCCUAGGGUUGUAAAGCUCUUUCGCCAGGGACGAUAAUGACGGUACCUGGAUAAGAAGCCCCGGCUAACUUCGUGCCAGCAGCCGCCGUAA